GGUAGCUUAGGUAAGGAUGAUCAGAUAGCUGGGUGCUGGACGUUAGGACCGCCGGUGUCGAUUUUCAUGCCUUUUGUUAACGGUAUUGUGGAUUUGUGUUUAGUUGACUCGAUUUGGCAUUAGGUCAGGACCGGUCUUGAAUUAUAUCAAUGUAUGGAUAUUUCUCGAAUCAAUAAAGUAAAUGUUUUAUAUGCGCUUCAUGAGUACUCUGAUAU
rnacentral:lncRNA from 1 species